UCCAUUCCAGGUGAUGCGAGAGUACGUCGGUG
rnacentral:rRNA from 1 species